AAAAUUUUGCAUGUAAAUUUUUAAAUAGAUAUUAAUAAGAUUGAAUCUCAUUUUGUUAUUUACAUUUUUCAGGAUUUUUUUAAAGAACUAUAAAUGUAUAAAUAAAAGAAAUGUAUUUCAUGAAUAACUAGUCUAUGAGAUGAGAACUUGAUAUUGGUAUGUUUAGAAAGAGUUUUGACUGUCAUCAAAUGACUUGCAAAAUGUAGGCCUAUAGGACUGCAUGUCAUCAGUGUAAAAUUUAUGAGAAAUACCAAUGUGAAAAAAAACAGGAUAAACUGUUAAAUU
rnacentral:sRNA from 1 species